rnacentral:rRNA from 1 species
GGGCGUAAGAGCUCGUAGGCGGCUUGUCACGUCGGAUGUGAAAACUCGGGGCUCAACCCCGAGCCUGCAUUCGAUACGGGCUAGCUAGAGUGUUGCAGGGGAGACUGGAAUUCCUGGUGUAGCGGUGAAAUGCGCAGAUAUCAGGAGGAACACCGGUGGCGAAGGCGGGUCUCUGGGCAACUACUGACGCUGAGGAGCGAAAGCGUGGGGAGCGAACAGGAUUAGAUACCCUGGUAGUCCACGCCGUAAACGUUGGGCGCUAGGUGUGGGGAACCUUCCACGUUCUCCGUGCCGUAGCUAACGCAUUAAGCGCCCCGCCUGGGGAGUACGGCCGCAAGGCUAAAACUCAAAGGAAUUGACGGGGGCCCGCACAAGCGGCGGAGCAUGCGGCUUAAUUCGAUGCAACGCGAAGAACCUUACCUAGGCUUGACAUAUACCGAAAACUCAUAGAGAUAUGGGGUCCGCAAGGGCGGUAUACAGGUGGUGCAUGGUUGUCGUCAGCUCGUGUCGUGAGAUGUUGGGUUAAGUCCCGCAACGAGCGCAACCCUCGUCCUAUGUUGCCAGCGGAUAAUGCCGGGGACUCAUAGGAGACUGCCGGGGUCAACUCGGAGGAAGGUAAU